rnacentral:rRNA from 1 species
UACGUAGGAUGCAAGCGUUGUUCGGAAUUACUGGGCGUAAAGAGUACGUAGGCGGUUUGACAAGUCUGAUAUUAAAGACUGGGGCUUAACCCCAGGACUGUAUCGGAAACUGUCAGACUAGAGGACAAUAGAGGAAGUCGGAAUUCUCAGUGUAGCGGUGAAAUGCGUAGAUAUUGGGAAGAACACCAGUGGCGAAAGCGGACUUCUGGGUUGUUACUGACGCUGAGGUACGAAAGCGUGGGGAGCAAACGGG